CCCAUGACGGUGCCAUGAAGUCGAGCGGAUGACGGGAGCUUGCUCCUUGAUUAGCGGCGGACGGGUGAGUAAUGCCUAGGAAUCUGCCUGGUAGUGGGGGACAACGUUCCGAAAGGGGCGCUAAUACCGCAUACGUCCUACGGGAGAAAGUGGGGGAUCUUCGGACCUCACGCUAUCAGAUGAGCCUAGGUCGGAUUAGCUAGUUGGUGAGGUAAAGGCUCACCAAGGCGACGAUCCGUAACUGGUCUGAGAGGAUGAUCAGUCACACUGGAACUGAGACACGGUCCAGACUCCUACGGGAGGCAGCAGUGGGGAAUAUUGGACAAUGGGCGAAAGCCUGAUCCAGCCAUGCCGCGUGUGUGAAGAAGGUCUUCGGAUUGUAAAGCACUUUAAGUUGGGAGGAAGGGCAGUAAGUUAAUACCUUGCUGUUUUGACGUUACCGACAGAAUAAGCACCGGCUAACUCUGUGCCAGCAGCCGCGGUAAUACAGAGGGUGCAAGCGUUAAUCGGAAUUACUGGGCGUAAAGCGCGCGUAGGUGGUUCGUUAAGUUGGAUGUGAAAGCCCCGGGCUCAACCUGGGAACUGCAUCCAAAACUGGCGAGCUAGAGUAUGGUAGAGGGUGGUGGAAUUUCCUGUGUAGCGGUGAAAUGCGUAGAUAUAGGAAGGAACACCAGUGGCGAAGGCGACCACCUGGACUGAUACUGACACUGAGGUGCGAAAGCGUGGGGAGCAAACAGGAUUAGAUACC
rnacentral:rRNA from 1 species